rnacentral:tRNA from 1 species
GCGGGUGUAGCUCAAUGGUAGAGCAGCAGCCUUCCAAGCUGAAUACGUGGGUUCACUCCGCAUCACCCGCUCCA